GCCUUCGUGGUGUAGUGGUCAGCACUCUCAACGCGUAUUUGAGAGGUCCGUGGUUCGAGUCCCGGAGACGCCA
rfam:Stegodyphus mimosarum contig89381, whole genome shotgun sequence.